rnacentral:rRNA from 1 species
GACGAACGCUGGCGGCGUGCUUAACACAUGCAAGUCGAACGGAAAGGCCCUGCUUUUGUGGGGUGCUCGAGUGGCGAACGGGUGAGUAACACGUGAGUAACCUGCCCUUGACUUUGGGAUAACUUCAGGAAACUGGGGCUAAUACCGGAUAGGAGCUCCUGCUGCAUGGUGGGGGUUGGAAAGUUUCGGCGGUUGGGGAUGGACUCGCGGCUUAUCAGCUUGUUGGUGGGGUAGUGGCUUACCAAGGCUUUGACGGGUAGCCGGCCUGGGAGGGUGACCGGCCACAUUGGGACUGAGAUACGGCCCAGACUCCUACGGGAGGCAGCAGUGGGGAAUAUUGCACAAUGGGCAGAAGCCUGAUGCAGCAACGCCGCGUGCGGGAUGACGGCCUUCGGGUUGUAAACCGCUUUCGCCUGUGACGAAGCGUGAGUGACGGUAAUGGGUAAAGAAGCACCGGCUAACUACGUG